UGCAAUAAAUAAAACAACCGGUUAAGUUUAUUUAUAGUCUGCUACUUGGAAUAUGAUUCUUUGUUUUCGUGACCUGUCUGAAAAUUCAGAAAAGUUAUCUACUUAAUUGGGAUUAGAGACGAAUCAAAUGGAAUUUGGAUUAUAUAUAUUGAAUAGCGUCUGGUGAUAGCUUACGAUUAGUAUCCAACGCUUAAAGCUGAUGCUGAUCACGCAUUUUCCGAACAAACUAGAUCAAUCUGUAAUAUUAAUAAAUAUUAGUGUUGGUACAAAAAA